UUUUCUUCUUCUUUCAUCUUCAUCUUCUUCUUUCUUCUUCUUCUUCUUCUUUCUCUCUUUCCUAGUUCUACAACUGCGGUGUUUCUGAGAAAUUUGAGAGAUGAAAUUAAGUUAUGAGAUCGUGAGGGCUAGGUUGAGAUCAAGGCAUGUUUGAGAGUGAUGGGGUUUGAUUCGACUAUCGAUUUUAGACUUCAUAGAAAGGAUGAACCGGUAGAUCGUGGAUCUUGUGGUAGGCAUGGCUUGUCAUCAAUUCAGGCACCCCUUGGGAUGAUGUACUCACUUGUUGCCACAUCAGUUUUUCAAUAAUCUGAAGGAAUGAAGCGCUCGAAGAUAUCCGUUUCGUAGCUAUGAACUUUAUUAAAUCUAGUGUUGUUGUGCAUCUUUUACUAUAUGUAUUCUUUCUUAUUCUGUAAACAACAUAUUUAUUUAUUCUUAGAACUCGAAAGACUUUCAUUUAUAUAAUAUCACAGAG